UACGAAGGGGGCUAGCGUUGCUCGGAAUCACUGGGCGUAAAGGGUGUGUAGGCGGGUUUUUAAGUCAGAGGUGAAAUCCUGGAGCUCAACUCCAGAACUGCCUUUGAUACUGGGAAUCUUGAGUAUGGAAGAGGUGAGUGGAACUGCGAGUGUAGAGGUGAAAAUUCGUAGAUAUUCGGCGGAACACCAGUGGCGAAGGCGACUCACUGGCCCGAUACUGACGCUGAGGCGCGAAAGCGUGGGGAGCAAACAGGG
rnacentral:rRNA from 1 species